GUUGUUUGGGAAUGCAGCUCUAAAUGGGUGGUAAAUUUCAUCUAAAGCUAAAUACUGGCCGGAGACCGAUAGCGGACAAAGAGGAGGGAUGGAAAGAUGAAAACCAUUUUGAAAAAAGAGUUAAAAAGCACGGGAAAUUGUUGAAAGGGAAGCGCUUGCGACCAGACUCGCCUCCAGGGUUCAGCCGGCAUUCGUGCCGGUGUACUUCCCUGGGGGCGGGCCAGCGUCGGUUUGGGCGGCCGGUCAAAGGCUCCCGGAAUGUAGUGCCCUCCGGGGCACCUUAUAGCCGGGAGUGCAAUGCGGCCAGCCUGGACCGAGGAACGCGCUCGGCACGACGCUGCUAUGCCUGG
rnacentral:rRNA from 1 species